AUACGGAGGGUCCCAGCGUUAUCCGGAAUCAUUGGGUUUAAAGGGUGCGCAGGCGGUUUAUUAAGUCAGUGGUGAAAUCUCGGGGCUCAACCUCGAAACUGCCAUUGAUACUGAUAAACUUGAGUUCAGUUGGAGUAGGCGGAAUGUGUAGUGUAGCGGUGAAAUGCUUAGAUAUUACACAGAACACCGAUAGCGAAGGCAGCUUACUAAACUGAUACUGACGCUGAGGCACGAAAGCGUGGGGAGCGAACAGGAUUAGAAACCCUAGUAGUCC
rnacentral:rRNA from 1 species